rnacentral:lncRNA from 1 species
AUGUUUCCAGCACCUGAGCCUCAUCUCACGGACCAAGAAGACCAGAACUUGGCAGAAAGCAACUUCUUGGAGCUCCUACAAUCAAUGUGGCAGCAUGGGGACAGCGAAGAAGAGGAUGACUUUAAAGAAACUGCUGGAGAGGAAAGAGACAUGGAAGAGGAGCGAGAGGGAGGACAUGGAGAGAAAGAGGACCAGGUGGAUGAGGAAGAGCUUGAUGAGAUCUAUGAGUUUGCAGCGACACAAAGGAAGAUAGAGACGAUGUUGGAGACUGCAACCGAGGAAGAGGAAGAGGAGGGAGAUGCAAAUACAUUCCUUGGAAAUGAGAAGGAUGAAGGGAAGGAGAAAAACAACACCGAAUCCCAUUUAGAGAAAUCUGCCGGCAGUUGCUAUAGUAACAAACAAGGCACGGAUGGGACGGAGGCUGCCAUGGUAACAAGUCCAACAGAAACCCUUAAAAACCCCAAUUUUUGUUUGAUUCCAGAAUUAGAUGAAAACAAAGACUCAGAUGCCAGUCUAGACAAGAGUUAUGAAGGUUUAUUCUCCCAGUCUGUUGGGGAAUACAUGGAACCGUCACAGACGCAAGCGUCCUGCUCUCAGCAACAAUGUUACAAGCCAUCAAGCACACUACAGCAAAAUACACCCGCCCCAUUUCGCCCUUCAUGUGUCAGUGAGGUGAUUGACCUGUCUAUAAGCCCUCCACCAAGCUCAGGUGUGUCAGGUGAGACUUCCUUCCCCAUGCCUGGAGUGUCUCCUGUUCUACAUGAGGGUGAAUAUACAGGUAAGUCUCCACUAAGAAAAGACAGUUCAGGAUGCCAGGGAAUUGAAAACCCUCCUUCCCCUCCAGAAUCUCAAAGCAAGCAGGUUGAGCUCAUUGUUCUCUCAGAUUCCGGUGAUGAAAUGGAUAUAGAUGACAGUGACCAAAAUGCUGCUACCACUAAACUUGCUUUGACUCCUCCGUCUCCUUGCGAAUCUCUCUCAGAACCUCCUCAGAGGUCCUCAAGCUAUGCUUGUAAAGUCAAAGAGAACAGUUUCAAAGAAUCUGGAUCCCAAGGCCAUGCCGGCAAACAGGUAGAUGUUUUCAAGCAGAUAGAUACUGAUAUAGAAGCAAAGUCUGACCGAUCAGAGCACUGUAGCCCCGGGGUUGAGAAUGAAAGUGUGUUUGAUGGCUCUGCCGAGGUUUCCUGGCUGAUUCCAGCCACUCCAGUACCAUCCACACGCUGUAGCUCUGCCCAGACCUGCAUCAGCAUGCGCCGAACCCAGCUCUUCCCCAAGUCAUCGUCCUCUUCUUCUUCUUCCUCUGUCUCGGAGGGUUUAAAACCUGCUAGCUCUGCUUCUUCAAGCAGCAGCUGCCUAAAAGAGAAACCAGCAACCUUGUCCAAAUUGCACAAAUCAUAUCAGAGUCCCUCUAAAGAAUGUCAUAGCAUUGAAACAGAUCGCUCUCCAGGUUAUCAGAGACCACUUCACCAUCUAAGACUGUCUCAGGUUUCUUCUACAGAUGUUUCUGAUGGCUCCCACAUUGGCAUCAUCAUGGGACAUCCAACACAGGGUGUCCCCAAGCCCUCCAGUAGCACUCCUCUCCAUUCAGACUCUUCCUUACAACAUCAGAACCCAUUUUGCUCCCCUAUGGUUGACGACCGUGAGGUUCGGCUUAGGAAUUGUAGAGGUAAUUCUAGAUCCUUCGGUAGGCAGGGGAAAGUUGACCUAGUGUCUUUACAAUGGAGUUCUCCUAGUAAAACGCCUGAGAAGCAGCAGAGUAGCUCUCUUCAGCAGGGAUGCUCCAGUCCGUCCUCGAACUCUCCAAGAUACAUUCAUCCAGAAAGUUUGAGAGAGAGUGAGAACGAUGGGAUAGAACGAAUGGAAUUGGGAGAGAAUCCAAAUCAGAGUGUUGAAGAAUUGGUGGAUAUUGCGGGAAACUCCUCCUGUGACAUGGAUGAGACUGGAAGAGGAGUGAGAGAAGAGAAUCCAAAUCAAAGUGUUGACGAAGUGGUUGAUAUUGCAGGAAACUCAUUUUGUGUCAUGGAUGAGCCUCCUAUAGCGUUUGAUGACUCCUGGGGUCUGGAUGGAGGGUUUGGAAGCCAGAAGCCCUGCUUUAGUCUAAGACUUGACAGCAGUAGAGUUGCAGUCAGUCCACCAGGUCUCGAGGGUAAGGGACCAACGUCCACGUCUCCUCUUGCAACUGGAGCUUGUAACAAAACUCCUGAUCAAAGUCCAGGUCCAUUUAAUCACAGCCUACCUGACCCUGACAUGUGGGAUGAUUGGGAGGAAGAGGAGGUUGCUCCCCUUCCUCUUUCUCAGAGAUUGACAGCUCCCUCUGCCAAGAGAGUUGCCGAACUAAAGACUCCAGGUAAGACAAGUCGUCCUCUGUGUUAG